UCGAGCGAGACCUUCGGGUCUAGCGGCGGACGGGUUAGUAACGCGUGGGAACGUGCCCUUUACUACGGAAUAGUCCCGGGAAACUGGGUUUAAUACCGUAUACACCCUUCGGGGGAAAGAUUUAUCGGUAAAGGAUCGGCCCGCGUUAGAUUAGAUAGUUGGUGGGGUAAUGGCCUACCAAGUCUACGAUCUAUAGCUGGUUUGAGAGGAUGAUCAGCAACACUGGGACUGAGACACGGCCCAGACUCCUACGGGAGGCAGCAGUGGGGAAUCUUAGACAAUGGGCGCAAGCCUGAUCUAGCCAUGCCGCGUGAGUGACGAAGGCCUUAGGGUCGUAAAGCUCUUUCGCCAGGGAUGAUAAUGACAGUACCUGGUAAAGAAACCCCGGCUAACUCCGUGCCAGCAGCCGCGGUAAUACGGAGGGGGUUAGCGUUGUUCGGAAUUACUGGGCGUAUAGCGCACGUAGGCGGACUGGAAAGUUGGGGGUGAAAUCCCGGGGCUCAACCUCGGAACUGCCUCCAAACU
rnacentral:rRNA from 1 species